GAUGAACGCUGGCGGCGUGCCUAAUACAUGCAAGUCGAACGCGCAGCGAGAGGUGCUUGCACCUUUCAAGCGAGUGGCGAACGGGUGAGUAACACGUGGAUAACCUGCCUCAAGGCUGGGGAUAACAUUUGGAAACAGAUGCUAAUACCGAAUAAAACUUAGUAUCGCAUGAUAUCAAGUUAAAAGGCGCUACGGCGUCACCUAGAGAUGGAUCCGCGGUGCAUUAGUUAGUUGGUGGGGUAAAGGCUUACCAAGACGAUGAUGCAUAGCCGAGUUGAGAGACUGAUCGGCCACAUUGGGACUGAGACACGGCCCAAACUCCUACGGGAGGCUGCAGUAGGGAAUCUUCCACAAUGGGCGCAAGCCUGAUGGAGCAACGCCGCGUGUGUGAUGAAGGCUUUCGGGUCGUAAAGCACUGUUGUAUGGGAAGAAAUGCUAAAAUAGGGAAUGAUUUUAGUUUGACGGUACCAUACCAGAAAGGGACGGCUAAAUACGUGCCAACAGCCGCGGUAAUACGUAUGUCCCGAGCGUUAUCCGGAUUUAUUGGGCGUAAAGCGAGCGCAGACGGUUGAUUAAGUCUGAUGUGAAAGCCCGGAGCUCAACUCCGGAAU
rnacentral:rRNA from 1 species